GAAUUAUUCACCCGUGUCUUUUGCGUACUUCUUGUUUCCUUGGUGGGUUCGCCCACCAUAGGACAAACCAUAAACCUUUUGUAAUUGCAAUCAGCGUCAGUAAAAAAAUUAAUAAUUACAACUUUUAACAACGGAUCUCUUGGUUCUGGCAUCGAUGAAGAACGCAGCGAAAUGCGAUAAGUAGUGUGAAUUGCAGAAUUCAGUGAAUCAUCGAAUCUUUGAACGCACAUUGCGCCCUUUGGUAUUCCAAAGGGCAUGCCUGUUCGAGCGUCAUUUGUACCCUCAAGCUUUGCUUGGUGUUGGGCGUCUUGUCUCCAGUUCGCUGGAGACUCGCCUUAAAGUAAUUGGCAGCCGGCCUACUGGUUUCGGAGCGCAGCACAAGUCGCGCUCUCUUCCAGCCAAGGUCAGCAUCCACAAAGCCUUUUUUCAACUUUUGACCUCGGAUCAGGUAGGGAUACCCGCUGAACUU
rnacentral:rRNA from 1 species